GGAAGUGUGCCUGAAAGNGGACCUCCUGGAGGAGGGUCAAACCCCCUCACUUCCU
rnacentral:tRNA from 1 species